GAUGAACGCUAGCGGCAGGCCUAAUACAUGCAAGUCAAGGGGUAGCAAUACACCGGCGGACGGGUGCGUAACGCGUACACAACGUACCUCAGAGCGGGGGAUAGCAUUGGGAAACUGGUGGUAAAACCCCAUGGUGUUGUUGAAUGGCAUCAUUUAACAACUAAAGGUUACACUCUGAGAUCGGUGUGCGUCUGAUUAGCUAGUUGGUGGGGUAACGGCCCACCAAGGCGACGAUCAGUAGGGGGUGUGAGAGCAUGACCCCCCCACAUGGGUACUGAGACACGGACCCAACUCCUACGGGAGGCAGCAGUAAGGAAUAUUGGACAAUGGGCGAAAGCCUGAUCCAGCCAUGCCGCGUGAAGGAUGAAGGCGCUCAGCGUUGUAAACUUCUUUUGGACGGGAACAUAUCCCCGAUUGUCGGGGCUUGAGGGUACCGUCAGAAUAAGCACCGGCUAACUCCGUGCCAGCAG
rnacentral:rRNA from 1 species